UGGAUGAUCUGAGCGUGGAAGUGAGGAGUUGAUGAAGUCCGCGGCCUGGGACGAGGAGGACGAGGGCGAGGGCGAGGGCGAGGGACCGCCGCUCGCCACCUUCCAGUUCGCCACCCAGACGACCCGCCGCAGGUAAAGUGAAUCACUUAAACGCCGCCGCCGCCAACCACAACAACAGCAACAACAACAAGUGUCGCCGCUGCGCGUAAUGAUACGGAAACACAGAAUUACUCCGCCGCCGCUGCCGCCGCCGCGUAAAUUGAAUGAGGGGAGGGACGGCGAGGAGCAGGGGAAGUGACAGGCGAGCCGUGAUGGGACGGAGAAAAGUUUCCCGUUUACGAGGCAAAAGUUUUGAGAGUGAUGUCUGCUUCCACUGAAAAGGUAAAGGAAACAGGACCAGCUCCUGCAGCAGCUCAACGGGAAACAGACUUCUCGUAUCAGUUCUCGCUCCAGUGUCCGUCCCUGAACUCACCGAUCUCGACAGCUGACGUGACUCAGAUGGCUGCAAAAACAGAUAAUCACUAAACUAAAUGGCGUCAAAGCGCAUCCGUCAAUUAGUGAGCGGAUCAGCUGCUUCGGGAAACUUUAAAUUCCAUUAAUUCCUGGUCAAUUAAAGUUGUUACAAAAAAUUUUGCGAGAAAUCUUGUUACAUGUCUGGGGAUAAAAAGGAGCAUAAGGUCUUUUAGAAGUCAGAGAAGAAGUUUUUCCUUUCCUUCUGUAAAAGCGCUGAAGCGAGCUACCUGGCAGGUACAGCGCUGCCUAAAUAUUUGCAGUGAAAGCUAAGUUAUCUGUGAACGGCCAGGUGGGACUCGGGGGACGGAGCUACAGUAAGUCUGUCUGGUGCAGCUGAAUAGUGGUGAGCUCAU